AUUUGAAUCAUCUCAGAAUUUUGUUAAAAUGCAGAUUCUGGUUUAGCAGGGCUUGAAAUUCUGCAUUUCUAACAAACCCCCAGGUGAUACUGCU
rnacentral:pre_miRNA from 1 species